UCAUGUCUCUAAGGGGUGUUCCGGUAAACGGAACUGAGAUUAUACCCAUUGACCUGAUCAAGGUAAUGCUUGCGUAGGGAAGUGACGGACUUAUUAU
rnacentral:ncRNA from 2 species